CUCCUAGUACGAGAGCACCGGAGUGAACGAACCUCUGGUGUUCGGGUUGUCACGCCAGUGGCACUGCCCGGUAGCUAAGUUCGGAAUCGAUAACCGCUGAAAGCAUCUAAGCGGGAAGCCUACCUCAAGAUAAGAUUUCCCUAGGACUUUAUGUCCUCUAAAGAGCCGUUGAAGACUACGACGUUGAUAGGUUGGAUGUGGAAGCAUAGUGAUAUGUGAAGCUGACCAAUACUAAUUGCUCGU
rnacentral:rRNA from 1 species